AGCUCCGCUAGUGUAUACCACGAGUACUGCGGUUAAAAAGCUCGUAGUUGGAUCUUCGGUAAUGGAUGCGGGUCCACUCUUUGAGUGCGCACUCGUGUCCGUGCCUCAUUUGUCAGUGCAUCCCAGUGUGUCCUUUACCAGAUGUGCUGGGAAGUCUGACGCUUUUACCUUGAGAAAAUUGGAGUGCUCAGAACAGGCGCAUGCCUGAACAUUUUUGCAUGGAAUAAUGGAAUAGGAUCUUGGUCCUAUUUUGUUGGUUUUAGGGAUUGAGAUAAUGAUUAAGAGGGACAGACGGGGGCAUUCGUAUUGCAACGCUAGAGGUGAAAUUCUUGGACCGUUGCAAGACGAACAACUGCGAAAGCAUUUGCCAAGAAUGUUUUCA
rnacentral:rRNA from 1 species